GUCUCUAAGAAUUAUUAGAGAUGGGACCUGGUCAGUGAAGUAAUUUAAACACACGCCUUAGCGUGAGGGUGAUAAUGUAGCAUAAUAAUUUGGCAUUUAAUUGAUGUCUGGAAUGAAAGGUGAAACAAUCUUUACAUUGUCUCUUCUAUAAAUCAUAGUAAUUUAAAAUUUUAGUUAAGAUCCUAAUUUAAAUCUGUAAGACGAAAAGACCCUGUUAAUCUUUACUAUAAACUUUAAUUAUCUAUAGUAGGUUACUAAAAGUAGCAUUUUAUAGAUUGAUAGUUUAGCUGGGGCGGCUGAUUACUAAAAAUAACGUAAUUAAUUUUUAUCUAGUUUAAUUAGGUCUAAAAAAAUUUAUCUUAUAAAUUAAUUUUUAUUUAAAUAUAAGAAAUGACCUUUAUAAACUGACAAAUUUUAUAAAAUUAAUAAAUAAAAGAUACUACAGGGAUAACAGUGUAAUUGAAAGAAAGAGAAUGAAAUCAAUCUUUUAGUUUGCCACCUCGAUGUUGUAUUGGAUUAUCCAUAUAAGAGAAAAAACUAUAAGGGUUGGAUUGUUCAUCCAUUAAAAAUCU
rnacentral:rRNA from 1 species